rnacentral:misc_RNA from 1 species
GAUGAAGAACGUAGCGAAAUGCGAUACGUAAUGUGAAUUGCAAAUUCAGUGAAUCAUCGAGUCUUUGAACGCACAUUGCGCCCCCUGGUAUUCCGGGGGGCAUGCCUGUCCGAGCGUCAUUGCUGCCCUCAAGCACGGCUUGUGUGUUGGGCCCCGUCCUCCGAUCCCGGGGGACGGGCCCGAAAGGCAGCGGCGGCACCGCGUCCGGUCCUCGAGCGUAUGGGGCUUUGUCACCCGCUCUGUAGGCCCGGCCGGCGCUUGCCGAUCAACCCAAAUUUUUAUCCAGGUUGACCUCGGAUCAGGUAGGGAUACCCGCUGAACUUAAGCAUAUCAAUAAGUGGAGGA